UAGGGAAUCUUCCACAAUGGGCGAAAGCCUGAUGGUGCAACGCCGCGUGUGUGAUGAAGGGUUUCGGCUCGUAAAACACUGUUGUAAGAGAAGAAUGACAUUGAGAGUAACUGUUCAAUGUGUGACGGUAUCUUACCAGAAAGGAACGGCUAAAUACGUGCUAG
rnacentral:rRNA from 1 species